UACGUAGGUGGCAAGCGUUGUCCGGAAUUAUUGGGCGUAAAGCGCGCGCAGGCGGUCCUUUAAGUCUGAUGUGAAAGCCCUUGGCUUAACCGAGGAAGUGCAUCCGAAACUGGCGAGCUAGAGUACGAAAGAGGAUCGCGGAAUUCCCGGUGUAGAGGUGAAAUUCGUAGAUAUCGGGAGGAACACCGGUGGCGAAGGCGGCGAUCUGGGUCGAUACUGACGCUGAGGUGCGAAAGCGUGGGGAGCAAACAGG
rnacentral:rRNA from 1 species